GAAUUUGAUCCCAAAAGGUUUGGGCAUCUAGCUGAUAAUUAGAUUGAUUGAGGUUCAAUUCCUCUCAAAUUCU
rnacentral:tRNA from 1 species